UCAUGUGUGUGUAGUCUGACACACACUGCUUUGGUUAUACUGGAGACAUACAAUAAAGUCAUAACACAGGUUACAGAUUUACAGAGGGGGCGGGCUGAUAGCAGCUGUGAGUUCAUUUCAGACUGUUUUAUUCUGGACUUUGACCGUGCAGGCUGCUCUCCACUGAGGCGAGGCGACUCUGAAACGCACAAGCACUCCAAGAUGACUCACAUGAAGGACAGACUCCUCCUGAAACCUCAGCUCAGUGACUUUGGUGCACUGAUCUUGUAUCAAGCUGUGGUCUUCCUUCUGCUAACACACUCCAGUGGAGGUCAGUCUCAGGUGAUCGGCACGUCUCAGGCAGUGGUGGCAAUGGUUGGUGCCGACACCAUUCUGCCAUGUCACCUGGAAACUGCCGUGGAUGCUACCGACCUGACUGUGGAGUGGGCGAGACUUGACCUGGACCCAAGAUUUGUCCAUUUGAGGCGAGACAGUACGGAGAUGGUGCAGCAGGAGAAUCAACUGUUCACGGGGAGGACAUCACUGUCCACCAACAAACUGAAGUGUGGAGACGUUUCACUGAAACUGUCCAAUGUAAGACUUUCUGAUGCCGGGACAUACAGAUGCCUCGUUCCCGAUUCUGGUACAGAAUCUGAGGUCGUGCUCACUGUUGGCUCUGUCUCCUCACCUGGUGUAGAGAUUUCCAAAGUCAGCAACGGAGUGUUGUUGGUGUGUAAGUCUGCAGGCUGGUAUCCAGAGCCUGAGGUGUUGUGGCUGGACGGUGAGGGAAACCUCGUCUCUGCUGGACCUCCAGAGACAGUCAGAGGUCCUGAUGACCUCUAUACUGUCAGCAGCAGAGUGACUGUGGAGAAGAGACACGGCAACAGCUUCACCUGUAGAGUCCAGCAGAGGAACAUCAACCACACCACAGAGACAACUCUUCAUCUUCCAGUUUCUCUCUUCAUGUUUGAGACCAGCACUGCUGCUCGUAUCAUCAUCUGCUUGGUUGUGUCCAUCGUGCCUGUUGUUGCAGUCGUCAUUGUUGUGAUGAAAUGGGGACGAAACAAAAAAGAAACCACAGACCACAACACAGAAUAUCUGAUGGUGGGAGAAGGAGACAGAGAGACGCCCAUGACAGGAAGGGAGACUAUCAUCUAUCUGGACAACACAAAGGCUAAACUUGAUGAGGAGUUACAGAAGACUGAGGAAGAACUGAAACAUGUAAAACAGAUGGUUGAAAAACUGACGAAGCAGAAGACUGAUCUGAAGAACCAGACACAAGGACUCAACUCACUGCUGCAGGAGGACAAGGCGCAGAUGGUGGAGUGUGAGAAGAAGCUGAGGGAGAAAACCAAAAUUGACAAAGAAACAAAAAUGCAGAAGCGUCUAAAGACCCAAAUGGCUGUGGAGCGGAGAAAGAAAGAACAUGAUGAACUGUCACUGAACACACAGAAACUACUGGAGACAACAGAGCAGAUGAUUAUUGAAAUGUCAGAGAGGAAGGGAAAACUAGAGCGAGAUAAAGAGCAAAUAAUGAAACACCUGGAGGUGACAGAGAGAAGGAGAGAAGAGGUUCAGAAGAAACUUCAGUCAGAGGGAGAAGAGGAAAUGAUAGAUACAGCACCCAGUGAUCCAUCAUGAUUGGUUCACUUUACUUCCUGUUAACACACUUUGUUGUAGAGAACCUGAGGCGUCUUUUCAGGUCCUUCACCAUCACCUGAAGCGUCUACCUGCUUAUUACAAACACCUCCAGCUACAGUCUGAACACAUGUUCCAGGUCAGGUGACUGAAGGCUCUGUGUUUUAGACAGGUUAUUAUUAUGAUUUCUCUUAAUCGCUGUGUUAGUUAUCAGGGAUGGGCAGUCUUUCUAUUACUUGUAUUUAAAAUACCUAUUUGAGUAUUUUGUAAUUUGUAUUUGAUAAGGCCGAUAAAAAGCAAAUGUAAUCUGUAACUAAAUACUUUUGAGUGGAGUAAUUUUGUAUUUAAAAUACUCAAAAUACUUUCUCCAUGAAUCAAAAAACAAAAAUAACAGGCUGCACAUUCUUAUAAUAUUGGAUGUAAGAAUAUAUUUUUAAAAAAAUAUAUUUGUAUCUAUAUGUUUAUUUAAUCUUGGGCCCUUCAGUGACCUCGUGGUCUGUUUCACUGGACUGUGCAUCACAUAGGAAACUGUAUGUUGUUGUGGUUGAUGCUUGGGAUGAGUCUGCUACAAAUGAACUGCCUCACGUGAGAUCAAUGAAGUUGUCUGAAUCUAAAUCUGAAUCAAUCAGUAAUAUUUUAGCGUAGCCUACAUGUCCCUAGCUUUGUUCUCUCUUUUUCAUUUGACAAAAGUUUAAAUUCAUUCAUAUGUUAUCAUCACAGUGUCUGUGAAUAUUUUAUUUGUUGAUACAAAAAAGUUUAUGGGCUGUUAAGUCUGGUUAAUAAAUAUAUAUAUACAUAAUCAAGUUGUUGUCUUUUAAUGGCUUUGCUUAGUUACACUUAGUUAGUCCUGUGACUGUUCACCAGAGCUUUGUGUUUAUCCUACAGCUCAAACCUGAAUACUCUGCUUCACCAAACUGGGAGAAAACAAUUUGCAAUAGCUGCGACCAAACUUGCUUCUAUCAUGCCAUUAAUGGAUGAAUCAUGGUUGUUCUUUCUGGUAUAGUUACUCAUG